rnacentral:rRNA from 1 species
UUGACCUCAAAUCGGGUGAGANUACCCGCUGAACUUAAGCAUAUCAAUAAGCGGAGGAAAAGAAACUAACAAGGAUUCCCCUAGUAACUGCGAGUGAAGCGGGAAAAGCUCAAAUUUAAAAUCUGGCGGCCCUUGGCCGUCCGAGUUGUAAUUUAGAGAAGUGU